rnacentral:rRNA from 11 species
UAACGGCGGCAGUAAACCUCACGGUCCUAAGGUAGCAAAAUUACUUAUCAAAUAAUUAUUGACCUGUUCAAACAGAAUAACGACCUCCACCAUUUCCUUAUUAUAUGAUCCAGAUAAACAAGAAUAAUAGUGAGUAUACUAUUUGGAUUAGGUUUGACGGGAAGACCCUGUUCAUCUUUACC